AAGUCGUAACAAGCAUUAACACGUAUCCAACGUUAAACCCCCCGUGCAUGGCAAUCCCUGGUAAAUCGCCGCAGGGACAUCCAAAGGGCCAUUAAAGUAGUAGUCAAUGCAAAGCAACCUGGUUUCUUUGAAGCAGAAAGUGUGAUGGCGUGAGCCGGAGAACGGACCGAGUGGUAGUUCAAAGGUGCCUUCUGUCGCGCACUGUGGAAAGGAAGACGCUUUACGAAUCACUGUCCAACAUGGUACCUCAUAUACCACCACAGUCGCAGACGAGGUAGGGAUGCAAUGAUAUGAACAACUGUUAACAAUGGAUAUCUUGGUUCUC
rnacentral:misc_RNA from 1 species